UCACCAUAUAAACUGUUUUAGUAUUAAGCUGUUAACUCAUAAUACUGUUAUUAUAAUUGUAAUAUUUGUUGUACAAACACCGGGUAAAAAACACCAUGAAAGCGACAGCGGGUGUUUUGAUGUUCAUAUUUCUGGCAGCUGGCAUGGUCAGCAAGACGGAUUGUUUCUUCCCGUGUACCACCUUUCCUUCCGUUGGACCGGUGUGUGGAAAGAAUGGGAUCACGUACUCCAGCGAGCGCAUAGCCUACUGUCUCGGUGUCGCAGUAGCUCAUCAAGGCAAAUGCGAGAAAAAGCGCUGCUUCUGCAGCUGCGAUGGCGAUGGAUGAGAGAUCUCGUUGUGCUUUCGGUUUUCCUAGAAUGGUCAGGUAAACCAUUGUCAACACUGUAUCGACGCUGUCUUGUGAGUGUCGCAACAGCAAUCGUUUGCGCCGGGAAAGGUAACUGCCGGUUGAAGCGGUCUGAUGCGAUUCUAACUUUUUCGAACUCAAUUUUCGAACUCGAUUUUUUUAGAUUUAAUAUAAUGGUUCAGCUGCUUAUUCAGACUUGUAAUUUUAGCGAAUACCAAGGCCUAAAAUAGUGUCCAUUAAUGGACAAAGUGUCCAUCAUUGAAAACAGUUUGUCCAUCAUUGCCGGAAAAAGUGUCCAUUAUUGUAAAAUUCAAAUAAAAUAAGAAAAUUAAAUGGGGGUCUAUGAAUUUCAAAUUAAUUUUUUUAGAUUGUUGUCUCCCCUGUUUUCGAGCUGUUUAGAAAGUUAAAACACUUCCCUUUAUGCCUUUUUAAGCGUCUUCAAAGUAAUCAAGGUCAAGGCAGUCAGUCAGCUAUGCCUACAGUCAGCUGUCUAUCUGCCUGUCAAACGCACGAAUACUUACCAUAAGAUUCACAACCGAUAUUCUCUGCUGUCUUCUUGUGUGUAUGAGUACUGCAUUUACAUGUACACUUUAAGAAAUGAUUUUUUGCGGUAACACCGUAACGGCAUGAUCUGUACAAUACAUUACUCCCGUUUAGCUAGCUUAAAAGCAAAAAACACAUUCUCGUUGUCAACCAUGUCGUUAAACGUUCCAAGAACAGAGACAGCGUUUCCCCGUUGUAUCUCAAUACUGAUUUUCUGGCGCAAAAUCAUUGUAUGUACUGCAUUUACAUUGUAUUUACAGUAUAUACCUGGUUUCAAUGGCUUUGCUAGCAGAAGAUGAUUCCCGCAGCAAAUGAAAUAACCAAUAACUCUUUUAUUACUGCUUAAUUUAGGCUGUUGAUUUCUACAGGUAUUUACCGGUCGUCUGCUUACUGACCACUAAGUAGUAAAAUAACACAUGAAGGUUCAUGUUACAAAGAGGAAAAUUAAUAUAUUCAGUAUUUUUAUUCGAAUUUCUAACCAUUUCUUCAGCCCACCUAUUCGUUGACUUCGCGCUUCGCGCGAAGAGAUUUUACUCGAACAAAUGUUUUACACACUUAUGCCAAUUUCUUACAAUAUUCAAUAUUUGAAACACCACCCCGUAUAUCAGCAAAAUUUGUCGUAGUGCGCAAAGGUCACGGAAUCGCUUAAGAUUUUUCCCGCCCCCCUUGGGGGGGGAGGGUGAAAACGUCCCCCCUCCAGGGGUGUCCAUCAUUGACUUUGCACUAUUUUAGGCCCUGGCGAAUACGUUAGCGUUAUAGUAGGCUACUGAGUCACUGACCACCUGUACUUCUUUUUGUAAAGUAUGAUGCUUAGCUACGCUAUGCUUUCAAGUAUAGAUCAACAGGAUUUGCGCCCUAUGGCCAACAAAAACGGAACGUGUUGUUUAACAUGCUUAAAAUUGCAGUAGAGUCAACUGAUACACUGCAAGUACAGUAAAAUCCCUCUACUACAUACACCCUCCGUUCUCAGCUUUCUGAAUGUUGUAAAGAGGUGUAUGUUACAUAGGGGCACUACCCCUGGGGGCGGUCGGUAAUUUACCCCCCAGGGGGCUGUUGUAGAUUGGUCAGUAGUAACUAAGCAAGGUGCAGCUGACGUUUUGUUUAUUUAUUUCAUGCUAUUCCUCCAAAAAAAACUCUGUCGCUUCUGUUUUGCGUACCGUUUCAAAAAGCUACCAUAUUACUGGCAGUUUAUUCUUCAGAAUUAACCGGUGAUCUUUAAUUUUUGAUGCCUUUUUGCUGUUUUUUUCUGUCAGAUCUGGUACUGGACAGAUUUGAACCAGAAACCGGAACUUUCUUUGAAACUUUUCUCAACUUAUUCAGGCAGCUGUAUGUAACGCAGGGGUUGACUGUAUGUUAAAUACUGUCAGCGGUUCCAAGGAAGGUGUAUGCUAUACUUAUAGAGGGGUGUAUGUUAUAUAGAGAACUGCCCCUAUGUUAUAAUCCACCGAACAGUCCGGUUCCCAGCCGCACGUAUACAAUAAAGAGGUGAAUGUUGUAUAAGGGUGUAUGUAACGAGGGGUUUUACUGUAGUGCCAAUGUUUUUACCAAACUCCACGAAUUCGAUUUCGAAGCCGAACGAAACAAGAUAAACCGGUUUCAUGCAGAAAAUUAAAUGUCCGGUCACAUUUUCCAUGUAGGACAAGAGAAGUACGUCCUUCAAUUAAAACACUGAUGUGUUCCUGUUGAGCUGUCUGUUGAUUUUGGUAUUCAACUUUGUAACCGCAACCCAACAGGCGGUUUUCCACGGUUUCAAUUGUAGAUGGUACAGUUUGUUUUUAAUACUACAGCCCCUACCAGUUCAACUGGAUGAUGAUACGAUGUCAGGAUGAGCUGUCGUUUUACUUUGUAGCAAAAGCCUUUUACUAUCACGCAGUGACAUUAAAGUUUCUUAUUCGAGUCUUCGACCGCACAUCACUACUCAACAAUUUACAUGUGUCAUGUUGUUGAAACGUUGAAACGGUUGAAACGGUUGUUUGUUUCGUUGAAACGGUAGUAAUCUUUUCUGCGGAAAGCCGGAAGCAACGGUACAGUCUGUACUAAAGCAAGAUUGUCAGCCAACGAGAAGGACAUUUUGGUCCGUCGCACCAGCAUAAUCGUGGCGCGGCAAACUGACGACCGUUUUUGGAUUUUACUGCAGGGGGCGUAUGAGAUUAAAUUUUCACACUCGGUACCCACCGUCGUUGCGUUUGCCGUUUACGUCCAUGUCAUGCAUGGAAAUUUCAUACAGAAAACACAGUGUCAGUUUUUGUUGGAUACAAAAUCUUUCAUGUUUGAAAAGAAUCGUUGUUUGCAUAGCAUAUUAUUAAGGGAGGCAAGUCAACCGCGCAGUCAAAGCACUAUUCCAAAAAAUUAUGUACCAGCUUAAAGAAAUUACGUACAAUAUGCAUAGCAAUUACGUACGAUAUACGGGGCAUAUGUGCCGGCGAAACAGAAUUUACAAAAAUGUACAUGUCGGUGCCGAAUAAACGCAAAGCCAGACGACGCUGUUCCCGUUGAGUUGUCACUCCAAAUUCAGCGUUAGCGUGAUUUAAUCCCACAUAAUUCAGCACCUAUCAAUAAUUAAUUUAACUGACAGCAACGGAGAUUAGGAGCGUGUAACUUGCUACCAGGGCAAACCCGGCCACUGUACGGUGCUGAAAAUGAAAAAGGAAAUAGAUGCCCAAAAUUUAAGGCACACGUUAUUUCGGCUGUAGAACAGUUUUGCAGCUUUAACAUUAAUAGCAUCCGGCUAGAUAUUUCAUCCGUUCGGACGGUAUUCCCUGUUUACUGCAGCACAUGUUAGUGUAAGAAGGACUGAGGCCGUUAUGCAUAUUGAAGUAAAGCACUUUCAAUUUUGUGUUACAUAGUAUAUCAGUAAUAUACGGUGUAAUUUGUGUUCCUGUACAGUCAUGGUAAGCCCGAUCGACUGCUUAUUUUUCUGUGGCGGGAUGGUUUGCAGCUCUCGCGAAUCGCCGGUGUGUGGAACGAAUGGGAAACGUAUCUGAGCCAGUGCCUAGCAGACUGUGCAGGCACCAAAAUAGCUCACGACGGAGAAUGCAAAAGCCAGUGCACUUGCCCUUGAAAGAUAGGAGAACUCCUGUAACGCUCGCCCUGUAGUUGUAGUGCUAUGUGAAAGGAUGUGGAACUGCACAGGAAAGCGCCCAGCUAUUUCGGAAUGGAGAAUACUUUUUUGUGAUAGCGUUAUUUUUGAAUCCCAUAUGUGUUAUUAUAAGGUACAAGCGAAAUCGCCACCAAAACGUGACGUGAUUCAUUGCAUCUGUUACGUUUCCGCCAUAUACCGUAAUUAUCGAAUUUGUGGCACCCCCGAAAUAAGCGCACCCCCCGUAUUAAGCGCACCGCCGCAAUCAUGUUCGAAAAAUAAUGGCACCCCCCGAAAUUACGGCACCCGGUGCCGUAAUUAAAUGUUAAGUCUAAUAAACCGGUAAUUAGAUCGUAAUUUUUGUUUAAGAUUUAUACGCUAAAGUUAAAAUUUUUAAACGAUUACUACCAUUUGCGAGCUAGCCAUAUACCGGUAACUAGGGCGCUCAGUUUCGGUACAGCUGGAUGCGCUGUUGUUUCGCUUCUAAGAUAAUAAUUCCUGGAAUUUAUUGUUUGAAAAAUAACGGCCCCUUCUAAAAUUUAUUGUUUGAAAAAUAAGGGCACCCCCCGAAAUAAGCGCACCUCCCCGAAAUAAGCGCACCUGCUCCUUGGCAUUCGAACUAUUUGCCGCCCAGUGCGGCAAAUUCGAUAAUUACGGUAGCAUGCAGUAAAUUUCACGGUCUACAGCAACUCCACUGGUAGUAAAGUGACUUUCACAUCACCAGUCGAGCGUUAACGCUUAAAAUAAAAUAACUGCUAAGGCAAUGGAUUCUUUACAAAGUUUGCAACGUACCGUUUAUUUGCUUAUCUUGUUGCAUACGAGAAAUUCUCAUGCAAUACAUUGUGUAGUUUAUUUGUACUGUAAAGGAAAGCUGCGAUUGGAAAAAAUGCUUAAUAGUUGUUCGCAUACAGUUUCUAGUCAGACAAUGGUAUAUCGGAAGCUCAUAAUAAAAUGCAAAAGCCCGAGCGGCAACUGUAACCAGAAUGCUGAGACAGUCAGCGGAAAUACUGAACGCUUGAGAAGGCAGUGACAGAAGACAAUAUCAUUUUCGCACUUUUGCUAACCUAGCUUGAUUCGACAGAAUUCUAGAGUAAGGUUUACAGGUUUCUAGAGUAAGGUUUACAGGUUUACAGGUAAGGCGUGAUUUCAAGGUUUACAGUUUACACGUAUUAUUCCGCAGCGAUCGCUGGCAAAAUGAAAGCGAUUUCAAUUGGAUUGUUGGCUGCUAUUCUGGCAGGUGCCCUGAUAAGCAAGACGGAGUGUUUUAAUAUUUGCUUCAGCAACUUUUGCUACGGCGGUGGGUCGGUGUGUGGAGCUGACGGAACAACAUACUCCAGUGAAUGUCGAGCGAACUGUGCAAAAACCACGGUAGCUCAUAAAGGCGAAUGCGAGAAAAAAGGAUGCCUCUGUAGUUGCUUUUGCAAGGACAGGAGCUCUCCUCUUACGUUCGAGCUAUAAUCGAAUUGAUGUCCGUCAGCGCUAAGCCUUAUAGAAGGACCUGCUACUUUGGGGAUAUUAUUGUGUUUUCGAAUAAAAUGGCUGUAUAAAUAAAUUAAAAAGGGCAUUCUCGGCUGGCUGGGAGCAGACUUGGUGCUGUGGUUUUGGGCUCAUUUUUUACAUCAUCGCUGUUUUGCCUUUUAUGUUGUUAUGGUAAAUAAACCUGAAGAACGGUGGUAUCCAUGAUCAGAUUAUAAUUUUUUUUAAUGUUUCUGUUUUUAAA